rnacentral:rRNA from 1 species
UACGAAGGGGGCUAGCGUUGCUCGGAAUCACUGGGCGUAAAGCGCACGUAGGCGGAUCUUUAAGUCAGGGGUGAAAUCCUGGAGCUCAACUCCAGAACUGCCUUUGAUACUGGGGAUCUCGAGUCCGGAAGAGGUGAGUGGAACUCCGAGUGUAGAGGUGAAAUUCGUAGAUAUUCGGAAGAACACCAGUGGCGAAGGCGGCUCACUGGUCCGGUACUGACGCUGAGGCGCGAAAGCUAGGGGAGCAAACGGG